rnacentral:rRNA from 1 species
CCCUUAGAUGUUCUGGGCCGCACGCGCGCUACACUGACGAAUGCAACGAGCUUAUAACCUUGGCCGAAAGGUCUGGGUAAUCUCCAAAUUUCGUCGUGAUGGGGAUAGAUUAUUGCAAUUAUUAAUCUUCAACGAGGAAUGCCUAGUAAGCGCAAGUCAUCAGUUUGCGUUGAUUACGUCCCUGCCCUUUGUACACACCGCCCGUCGCACCUACCGAUUGGAUGGUCCGGUGAAGCCUCGGGAUUGUGGUUCUUGCCGCUUUAUUGUGGCGUGACCGCGAGAACUUGUCUAAACCUUAUCAUCUAGAGGAAGGUGAAGUCGUAACA